CUUUCCCCAUUUGAGUCACAGCUUUGGACCGCGGUGGACGGACGGCGCCGGGAGAAAAUUUGUGAUGUUGGAUUCCUUUAACACCAACCAUCAGAUGAUAUAACCAGUGUUUGCUGACCUGAUGAUGCUGCAAUACUGCAAAGAGGAGUACUGCAAUGGCACACCUUCCUCACACAACAGAAAUAACACUCCAGGCUGAUGUGUUGCUGUCAAAGGUUCAGGAGUGAGGGCAAGCCACCCAGCAGGGACCUUGGAGGGCUGGCCGUGGAAGUGCCUUCACUAUUAAUAAUACUCCUACACACAACUACUUACUGUGCAUAAUGUCAGCUGUGUUGCUGGUGAUCUGUAAGCCAUUUUGACAUUUAUUUUUUUAAUAAAAAAUACAGCCUUU